GAUGAAGAACGUAGCGAAAUGCGAUACUUGGUGUGAAUUGCAGAAUCCCGUGAACCAUCGAGUCUUUGAACGCAAGUUGCGCCCGAAGCCAUUAGGCCGAGGGCACGCCUGCCUGGGUGUCGCACAUCGUUGCCCCAAUGCCUCAGCCCUGUUGCAAGGCAUGGCAAAGGGGCGAAUGUUGGCUUCCCGCGAGCGAUGCCCUCACGGUUGGCUGAAAAUCGAGUCCGUGGUGGAGUGUGCCGCGAUGGAUGGUGGUUGAGUAAAAGCUCGAGACCGAUCAUGGGUAACUCCACCAGAAUUGGGCUCGGUGACCCACAUGCGUCCCUUGGAUGCUCCCUAAGGAGACCUCAGGUCAGGCGGGGCUACCCGCUGAGUUUAAGCAUAUCAAUAAGCGGAGGA
rnacentral:misc_RNA from 1 species